GGGGCGAGGUAUUAUAAAAAUUUUAUAACCGAAAUUUCUGAUCUUUUUAAUGGUAGCAAGAUGAAGAGCUAGUAUUUGCUGGGUAAGCAUUAAUUUAAACCAUUACAACGAUGUGAUAAAUUAGUCGUAGGAAUUUAUAACUGUUUAAGAAAUUUCUAUAUUUAAUUAUUUAUAAAGGCAAUGAGGUCUUUAUAGCAAAUAUAUCUAUUUUUUGUAGUUAUAAUAAAAAGGUUAAAAUUACCUUCUUGUAAAAAGUGUGUUACAACUUUAUUUCUAUGAUUAUAUUAGAUUAUUAUAUUAAAAUUUCUUUUUCUUAACUUAAUAGAUUUAUUAAUUACUUUAUAAGUAAUUUUAAUAAUCUUAUUAUUUCUCAAGAAUAUCCCGUCUGUUUAUUAAAAACAUUUCCAUAAAAAAAUUUUUAUGGUAGAACCUGCUCUAUGUUUAUAUAAAUGGCCGCAGUAUCUUGACUGUGCGAAGGUAGCAUAAUUAAUUGCCCCUUAAUUAGGGGCUUGUUUGAAUGGUUUGACGAGGUUAUGUCUAAUAUUAAGAUUUUUGUUGAAAUUAAUAUUGGGGGCACAGAAUCCCCUAUUUUUAAUUAGACGGAAAGACCCCGGGAUCUUUUAAAUUUUGCCUGGGGCAGGUAUUUUUUAUUCAAUUAUAUUAUGACCCAUUAAGUGUUUAAAGGUUUAAGUUACCCCGGGGAUAACAGUGUAAUUAUUUAUUAGAGAUCUUAUCGAAUAAGUAGAUUGCUACCUCGAUGUUGACUUAGGUUUACAGCAGGGCGCAGUUGUCUUGUUGUUAGGGUCUGUUCGACCUAU
rnacentral:rRNA from 1 species